CAAGCCACAUGGUGGUGGUGGUUAACAAUGAAAAAGUGCAAAUAUGCUUAGACCUAUCAGAUUUGAAUAAGGCUAUCUUCAGGGAGCACUACCACGUGCCAACCUUAGAUGUAGUACUAAGUCUAUCUGGAGCUAGGUACUUUUACACCUUGGAUGCAUCAUCGGGGUUCUGGCAGGUGAAGUUAGAUGAGGCGAGCUCAAGAAUAUGUACUAUGAGCACCCCGUAUGGCAGAUAUAGGUUCUUGCGCAUGGCAUUCGGCAUACGUUGGUUCCAGUUUUUCAACGAGUAACGCACGGAGUGGUAGAGGGACUUGCUGGUGUAGCCGUUGUUAUGGACGACAUUUUGGUCUGGGAAACACUUGCGAGGAGCACGAUAGCAAUCUGUCCAAGUUGUUUAUGCAUUGCAGAGAAAACAACUUGGAACUUAACAGAAAAAGUGUAAUUUCUUGCAGCCCCGAGCAUGUUAGAUAGGCCAUGUACUCACCACAGAGAGACUCUGCCUGGAUCCUGAGAGAGUAGAGGACAUUCUACAAGUACCAACAUCCCAAAAUCUGAAGAGAAGAUGUGACAAAAGGCAAAGUCAUCUGCAUGCGUGCACAAGACAACACCUGCACAUGUUGCAGCCCAAGAGUGCUCCCCAAGAGCAAGAGUUCCAGGGGUGUCAAGUGUCCAGAAGCAGCCCCAGGUUCUUGGAAGAAAUGUUGUUUGAACUAGACAGACGGUGGCGCUUUCGCCGGCAGGACCAUUGGUAAAAUUAGUGACACUGUUGUUGGCAGUAGUGCUGUACAGUUUACCUGUUGUUAGUAUUAGGCGAAUAAAGACGUCAGUGGACCUCUCAAUAAAGCUGCAGAGUAAAGUUG